UACGGGGGGAGCAAGCGUUGUUCGGAUUUACUGGGCGUAAAGGGCGCGUAGGCGGCCACCGCAAGUCGGGAGUGAAAGCCCGGGGCUCAACCCCGGAAUGGCUUUCGAAACUGCUGAGCUAGAGUACAGAAGGGGCAACCGGAAUUCCCAGUGUAGCGGUGAAAUGCGUAGAUAUUGGGAAGAACACCUGAGGCGAAGGCGGGUUGCUGGGCUGAUACUGACGCUGAGGCGCGAAAGCCAGGGGAGCAAACGGG
rnacentral:rRNA from 1 species